rnacentral:rRNA from 1 species
GACGAACGCNGGCGGCGUGCUUAACACAUGCAAGUCGAACGAAGAGCGAUGGAAGCUUGCUUCUAUCAAUNUUAGUGGCGAACGGGUGAGUAACGCGUAAUCAACCUGCCCUUCAGAGGGGGACAACAGUUGGAAACGACUGCUAAUACCGCAUACGAUCUAAUCUCGGCAUCGAGGAAAGAUGAAAGGUGGCCUCUAUUUAUAAGCUAUCACUGAAGGAGGGGAUUGCGUCUGAUUAGCUAGUUGGAGGGGUAACGGCCCACCAAGGCGAUGAUCAGUAGCCGGUCUGAGAGGAUGAACGGCCACAUUGGGACUGAGACACGGCCCAGACUCCUACGGGAGGCAGCAGUGGGGAAUCUUCCGCAAUGGACGAAAGUCUGACGGAGCAACGCCGCGUGAGUGAUGACGGCCUUCGGGUUGUAAAGCUCUGUUAAUCGGGACGAAAGGCCUUCUUGCGAACAGUUAGAAGGAUGA